AUGAACGCUAGCGGCAGGCUUAACACAUGCAAGUCGAGGGGUAUAGGGAGCUUGCUUCCUAGAGACCGGCGCACGGGUGCGUAACGCGUAUGCAAUCUACCUUUUGCAGAGGGAUAGCCCAGAGAAAUUUGGAUUAAUACCUCAUAGUAUGUGAGAAUGGCAUCAUUUUCACAUUAAAGUCACAACGGCAAAAGAUGAGCAUGCGUCCCAUUAGCUUGUUGGUAAGGUAACGGCUUACCAAGGCAACGAUGGGUAGGGGUCCUGAGAGGGAGAUCCCCCACGCUGGUACUGAGACACGGACCAGACUCCUACGGGAGGCAGCAGUGAGGAAUAUUGGACAAUGGGCGCAAGCCUGAUCCAGCCAUGCCGCGUGCAGGAUGACGGUCCUAUGGAUUGUAAACUGCUUUGUACAGGAAGAAACACUGGUUCGUGAACCAGCUUGACGGUACUGUAAGAAUAAGGAUCGGCUAACUCCGUG
rnacentral:rRNA from 1 species